GGGGAAAGCAGGGGAUCUUCGGACCUUGCGCUAAUAGAUGAGCCUAAGUCAGAUUAGCUAGUUGGUGGGGUAAAGGCCUACCAAGGCGACGAUCUGUAGCGGGUCUGAGAGGAUGAUCCGCCACACUGGGACUGAGACACGGCCCUGACUCCUACGGGAGGCAGCAGUGGGGAAUAUUGGACAAUGGGCGAAAGCCUGAUCCAGCCAUGCCGCGUGUGUGAAGAAGGCCUUUUGGUUGUAAAGCACUUUAAGCGAGGAGGAGGCUACUUGGAUUAAUACUCUAGGAUAGUGGACGUUACUCGCAGAAUAAGCACCGGCUAACUCUGUGCCAGCAGCCGCGGUAAUACAGAGGGUGCGAGCGUUAAUCGGAUUUACUGGGCGUAAAGCGUGCGUAGGCGGCUUUUUAAGUCGGAUGUGAAAUCCCUGAGCUUAACUUAGGAAUUGCAUUCGAUACUGGGAAGCUAGAGUAUGGGAGAGGAUGGUAGAAUUCCAGGUGUAGCGGUGAAAUGCGUAGAGAUCUGGAGGAACACCGAUGGCGAAGGCAGCCAUCUGGCCUAAUACUGACGCUGAGGUACGAAAGCAUGGGGAGCAAACAGGAUUAGAUACCCUGGUAGUCCAUGCCGUAAACGAUGUCUACUAGCCGUUGGGGCCUUUGAGGCUUUAGUGGCGCAGCUAACGCGAUAAGUAGACC
rnacentral:rRNA from 1 species